CCGCGCUCCGUCCGGGGCCGGCAGCGAGCGCGGGGUUCGGCCGCUCCAAGUUCGGCGGUGCCGUGGCUCGGAGGCGCUUUGGAGGCGUUGAUGGCAUCGCUGGGUUCGGUUUGCAGCGGCUGUCCGCUAAGGGAUACGGUGUUCUUCCUGAGCGGCACGGUUCUCGGUGCCGGUAGGGAUGAUAAAGGGUACUCACAAAAUAUGUCUCCCUUAGUGUCCCACAGAAACAUUCUGGGUGAAAUCUGAAUUAAGUGCUGUGAGUCUUGAUAAAUUGGAGAAGUGCCCAAGAGAAAUUCAUCAUCCUGAGAUACAAAAGGGAUCAGUGAAUUUUAACUCUGGAGUCCUCUAUGCUAAGGAUGCUCAGCUUACAGAUGAUGAAAUGUUCAGUAAUGUAUUUGCUGGAGCUGUGCUUACCCAAGGUUUGGGUAAAACAAGCUUUGGGUUCCCUCUGUCUCACUGGGAGUUGCCCAAUUCAGUUGCAUCUGGUGAAAUUCACCCUGAGACCUUACAGAACCAGCUCCAACUACGUGAGAGCCAUUUGCAGUUCUCUCCAGACGCCUGGAGAAUGGGUGACGUUUCUGAGGAUCCGGCGAGCGUGCUUCUAUCAAAACUCAGUCUGUGAAAUUUCUGGGGAAAACCCUUCUGUGUCCUGAAGGGUUCAAACUCUGGUGAGGAUCCAGUUAUCAGGUGCUCACCUGGAUGGUUCCAGCUCCCAAAGGGAAAGACUCUCGUAUCCUUGUCGUCGGGCUCGGUGCUGUCCAAGAAGAUACAGAGACUAAAAAAAUCAUAAGAAGCAAAAUAUGACUGCAGGGAAAAGAAGCUGGAGAGAACAGAAGACAUUGCUCCACUCCCCAGAGGAUUAUUGUGAGCAGAUGUGAGCUCUGCUGUCCCUUUGGACUGACAAAGACAGAGGUUUUGUCCCAAGUUGCUUUUGAACCUGUCCUGCACCUGUUAUGAGUCCUCAGUCUCCUGCAAUUUUGUGGGUCAGUCACAUGUAAAACAGCACAGCUGGCUGGCAUGCUUUGCUCAUGAGGGGAGACAAGAGAAGAAUCCCUCUGCUCACACCAGACCUGCAGCUGCCAAACCUCACCAAAGCACCUGAGGAGCCCCCAGGGACUGAUGGUACAGAAGGGAGGUGAUGGAGGACAGCACAGCAGGCAGCCUGCCCUCCAUCUGGGUGUGAAGAAGGCAGGGCUGGGAACUGUAAGCAACAUCCCAGCAGGUCUGGCUGAUGGUGCCACCCUGAGGGCUUCCCCUGCCUUUGGGCAGUCCCAGCUGCUGCAGCUCACUUGACAGAGACUCAUUGUCUAUACUGUGCUUGGCUGCACUGGAGAUGAUGAAGCCGAGGACAGCAAUGGUUGCCUUCACAUCCCCUGACUGCAGAUGGGAAGGAGGGCGAGCUCUGUCACCUUGGGAAGGCGUCUGCAGAGUCACUGCUGCCCGUCUCUGGAGCGUGGCUCCAUUGGGGGACCGUGGUAAGGACAGCAGUGCUCACUUAACUGUGCACCUGAGGACAGCUUCAGGAUCUUGUCAUACUGUGGGAGAGCAGAGCUUCACAGUAAACACCAGCUAACACACUGACUGCCAGUGUUAACACUAACAGUUCUUACCUAAAUAUUAAUACUAGUAACACUUACUAUGCGUAUUAUUAAUCCUAGUAGAGGCUGGUAGCGUUCUUUAGGCUGA